CUGCACUACAAACAAGUGCUCUCAGCGCCUGAUUUCUUUCUGCAGUCUCUAGAGGAGAGAGCUGUUUCCUUCCUUUUCCAAGGGUUCAAUUCCAUGGAACAGAAGUGAUACCAUUUUUUCAGGCAAACAUCUAACUUUCAGAAGCAUCACAAAAAUCUGUCCAGACAAAACAAACAAGUUUGCAGCCCUGGCAGAAGAGCUGACAUUAAGUGUGGAAACUGAGGAACAUCAAAGUCGGGGCAGCUAUCAUCUUGGCAAGAGGGAUGUUGUUCUCUGCACAAGCUGCACAUCUGGCACUCGGGGAAGGAACAUUACUUUGAGAACCCCUCUAAAUAAGAAAUUUCUUUCUGCUGUGCAAUGGCUGGUGAUGUACUGUGACUCUUUGGUAAUCAUCCUUGGUGGGAUUAGCUGGGGCUAUUUCUCCCAUGGCAUUUUGAAUGAGCACUCUGUCUCCAAAUGGCAUGAUUUUCCAGGGCAUCAACAUUGCUGGACAAUAACAGACCCGAGUAUGGAGUCGAGGGACCUGGCUUUGGCACUAGCUUACCGUGUGAUGUCAGACCAGUCCCAACCUGCCUGUGAGCCUGUUUCUCUGUCUAUACAAAAGUCAGCAGUCAGACAGCAUCUCUAAUUCUGACCCCAGGCCUUCAGAUUUUGUUCUGCCUGGGAGAGGAGAGCUGGGCUUAAGGUAUAAUGAUGCUGGCAUAGGGAUAGCACCUGGCAGCCAUUCAGUGAGUGUACACCUGGCUUUGCUACCCAGAUCCUGAGAACCUCCUGGUCAAGGUAGCUAGAGGGAACGCAAUCUCUUACUUUGCGUAUUCACAGGGAAGUCAAUGACUUUCUGAGCUGUAGGAAGUGCCACAAACUAAGAGGUUAAAAUGGAGAAUCUGGGCAAAUGCUUCUCUUUUCUAAGGAGAUGUUUGACUGGAAGGGGCUUGGUUCAUAAUGUCAUGCAGUCAGCAGCCCGCACCAGGUACCUGUCACAUCUCAAGCUUUGAACAAGGGUAGGUGACAGAUAAGGGGACUUCUCACUCACUUUUAUCCACAAUGUCAGGGCAGCCUGCCCAUCCUGCCUGAGUGUCUCAUUUUCCUCCCCCUCCUGCCUCCCCCAUGCCUUUCAUCAAGGCCUUCGAGGUAAUUGCUCCGUGCACAAACAGCUCGCGGCCUAGCGUGCAAGUAACAAUUAGUUUAGAGGCUGUGAUCUAUAAAUUUUGAGGAGCGGGAAAGAGGACUUGGUGCACUUGGGCUAUCGUUUCUAAUGAAGAAAAA
rnacentral:lncRNA from 1 species